AACGAACGCUGGCGGCAGGCCUAACACAUGCAAGUCGAACGCACCGCAAGGUGAGUGGCGCACGGGUGAGUAACACGUGGGAAUGUAUCCUUUGGUUCGGAAUAACGUCUGGAAACGGACGCUAAUGCCGGAUGAGCCCUUAGGGGGCAAGAUUUAGCGCCAAAGGAGCAGCCCGCGUCUGAUUAGGUAGUUGGUGGGGUAACGGCCUACCAAGCCGACGAUCAGUAGCUGGUCUGAGAGGAUGAUCAGCCACACUGGGACUGAGACACGGCCCAGACUCCUACGGGAGGCAGCAGUGGGGAAUAUUGGACAAUGGGCGCAAGCCUGAUCCAGCCAUGCCGCGUGAGUGAUGAAGGCCUUCGGGUUGUAAAGCUCUUUCGCACACGACGAUGAUGACGGUAGUGUGAGAAGAAGCCCCGGCUAACUUCGUGCCAGCAGCCGCCGUAACAC
rnacentral:rRNA from 1 species